rnacentral:rRNA from 1 species
UAAUCGUAGGUCAGCAUACUACGGUGAAUACGUUCCCGGGCCUUGUACACACCGCCCGUACAAACCAUGAGAGUUGGCAACACCCGAAGUCGGUAGUCUAACCGCAAGGAGGACGCCGCCGAAGGUGGGGUUGAUGAUUAGGGUUAAGUCGUAACAAGGUAAC